CCCAGUAGGCAUCACCUCCAAGCGUGAGGACUCUCCCACCUGGCCUCUCUGCCUCCCAGCUGUGGAUGUGGAGCGGGGGAGUUCCAGGGUCAGUGAGGAAGAUGGGCCCUGAGCUAACAUCUAUUGCCAAUCCUCCUCUUUUUGCUUGAGAAAGAUUGUCCCUGAGCUAACAUCCAUGCCAGUUUUCCUCUAUUUUGUUUCUGGGAUACUGCCACAGCAUGGCUUGAUGAAGAGAUGGACAGAGAGAUCCCAAUUCACACCUGGGAUCCAAAACUGCGGACCCUGGGCUGCUGAGCAGAGUGCACAAACUUAUCCUCUACGCUGCCAGGACAGCCACUAUUUAUGUUCUCCUUAAUUUCUUUCAGUAAUGUUUUGUAGUUUUCAUUGUGCAAGUCUUUCACAUUCUUGGUAGUUAAUUUCUAAGUAUUUUAUUCUUUUUUGAUGCUAUUGUAAAUGGAAUUGUUUUUGUCAUUUCCUCUUCAGAUAGUUCAUUGUUUGUGUGUAGAAAUGAAACAGAUUUUUGUAUGUUGACUUUGUAUCCUGCUACUUUGCUGAAUUCAUUUAUUAGUUGCAAUUUUUUUUUUUUUGGUGAGGUCUUUAGUGUUUUCUACAUAUAAGAUCAUAUCAUCUGCAAACAGAUAAUUCUACUUCUUCCUUUCCAAUUUGGAUUCCUUCUACUUUUUUCCUU
rnacentral:lncRNA from 1 species